GUCGCUAUGGCCGAGUGGUUAAGGCGACAGACUAGAAAUCUGCUGGGGAAACCCGCACAGGUUCGAAUCCUGUUGGCGACG